rnacentral:rRNA from 1 species
UACGUAGGGGGCGAGCGUUGUCCGGAUUUAUUGGGCGUAAAAGGCUUGUAGGUGGCCACGUCAAGUCGGAUGUGAAAUCUCCCGGCUCAACUGGGAGGGGUCAUUCGAUACUGGCGGGCUCGAGGCCGGUAGGGGGAAGCGGAAUUCCCGGUGUAGUGGUGGAAUGCGUACAUAUCGGGAGGAACACCAGUGGCGAAGGCGGCUUCCUGGACCGGUUCUGACACUGAGGAGCGAAAGCGUGGGGAGCGAUCCGG